rnacentral:rRNA from 1 species
GACGUAGGGCGCGAGCGUUGUCCGGAUUUAUUGGGCGUAAAGAGCUCGUAGGCGGCUUGUCGCGUCGUCCGUGAAAACCCACAGCUCAACUGUGGGCUUGCGGUCGAUACGGGCAGGCUAGAGUUCGGUAGGGGAGACUGGAAUUCCUGGUGUAGCGGUGAAAUGCGCAGAUAUCAGGAGGAACACCGGUGGCGAAGGCGGGUCUCUGGGCCGAUAUUGACGCUGGAGGAAGCGAAAGCCGUGGGGAGCGAACAGG